rnacentral:rRNA from 1 species
UACGGAGGGUGCGAGCGUUGUCCGGAAUCACUGGGCGUAAAGGGUGCGUAGGCGGUUCGGUAAGUUGCUGGUGAAAUCCCGGGGCUCAACUCCGGGGCUGCCGGCAAGACUGUCGGACUCGAGCACGGUAGGGGCAGAUGGAAUUCCCGGUGUAGCGGUGGAAUGCGUAGAUAUCGGGAAGAAUACCAGUGGCGAAGGCGUUCUGCUGGGCCGUUGCUGACGCUGAGGCACGACAGCGUGGGGAGCAAACAGG